rnacentral:rRNA from 1 species
GAUGAACGCUGGCGGCGUGCCUAAUACAUGCAAGUCGAGCGAACGGACGAGGAGCUUGCUUCUCUGAUGUUAGCGGCGGACGGGUGAGUAACACGUGGAUAACCUACCUAUAAGACUGGGAUAACUUCGGGAAACCGGAGCUAAUACCGGAUGAUAUUUUGAACCGCAUGGUUCAAAAGUGAAAGACGGUCUUGCUGUCACUUAUAGAUGGAUCCGCGCUGCAUUAGCUAGUUGGUAAGGUAACGGCUUACCAAGGCAACGAUGCAUAGCCGACCUGAGAGGGUGAUCGGCCACACUGGAACUGAGACACGGUCCAGACUCCUACGGGAGGCAGCAGUAGGGAAUCUUCCGCAAUGGGCGAAAGCCUGACGGAGCAACGCCGCGUGAGUGAUGAAGGUCUUCGGAUCGUAAAACUCCGUUAUUAGGGAAGAACAUAUGUGUAAGUAACUGUGCACAUCUUGACGGUACCUAAUCAGAAAGCCACGGCUAACUACGUG